AUGGAAAAGAUAAGAGAAGCUCAGAAGACUGACAAGGAGAUUGAUGAGAUAAAGGAAAAGAUGAGCAAAGGAAAAGCCAAGGGAUUUUGUGAGGAUGAGCAUGAUACCUUAUGGUUUGAGGACCGCGUUUACGUGCCCAAUGAUCCGGAGAUCAGGAAGUUGAUUUUGCAAGAGGCCCAUGAUUCACCGUAUUCGAUUCACCCAGGAAAUACCAAGAUGUAUUUGGAUUUGAAGGAUACUUUCUGGUGGACCGGAAUGAAGAAGGAUAUUGCGGAGUAUGUAGCAGUUUGUGAUGUAUGUCAGAGAGUGAAGGCAGCACAUCAGAAGCCAGCAGGAUUGCUACAACCAUUGCCAAUACCCGAAUGGAAGUGGGAUAAAAUAGGCAUGGAUUUUAUCACGGGAUUGCCCAGGACUCGUUCAGGCUAUGACUCAAUAUGGGUUGUAGUCGACCGUUUGACGAAAGUAGCUCAUUUCAUUCCAGUGAAGACCACUUACACCAGUGCUAAGUUGGCAAAGAUAUACAUGACCAGGACCGUAUGUUUGCAUGGAGUUCCGAGGACCAUUGUAUCAGACAGAGGAACCCAGUUUACCUCGAAGUUUUGGAAGCAGUUACAUGAAACAUUGGGAACCAGGCUAGAAUUUAGUACAGCCUUUCACCCACAGACAGAUGGACAGACCGAGAGAGUCAAUCAGAUUUUGGAAGACAUGUUGAGAGCUUGUGCACUAGAUUAUGGAUCUAGUUGGGACGACAAUUUGCCAUAUGCAGAGUUUUCUUACAACAACAGUUAUCAAACCAGUUUGAAGAUGGCCCCUUUCGAAGCUUUGUACGGAAGGAGGUGUAGAACACCGUUGUUAUGGGACGAAGUUGGAGACCGUCAGUUGUUUGGACCAGAUUUGAUUAAGGAGUCUGAACAGAAAGUGAGGUUGAUUCACGAUAGGCUCAAGGUAGCCCAGUCCAGGCAGAAGAGUUUAUCUGCGAGUAUCGCCACUUCAAGGAGUGAAGCGCUUUGGAGUUAA
rnacentral:rRNA from 1 species